UCCACUUACAUGUGAAGCAUAUACUUACAAAACUCAUAGUUAUUGCAAGAUUCUACUAAAAUUUCUUUUUUCAGAAGUACUUCACAUUUUAUUGAAGUUUAUACAAACUGACUUGAAGUACCAUGAAGCUAUACCCCUUUCUAACCCUUAUUUCCAUUUUUCUUUUCUAACUGACAUAGCAUAUAUACAACAUGUAUUACAUAAGCGAUUAGAAAGUGAAAAAUUUGAGUAAAAUACAAAUUUGAAUGUAUGCCCUUGUAGAGAGCAGAAUAGCAUAUGAACUUUACAUUGAUUUUAACUUUCUCAUCACGAAACGCCAUUUCAGACAUUAGCUCAUAAACAAUAGGAUUGUGCUCUAUCC
rnacentral:lncRNA from 1 species